GGCUAUGCCUCAAUUGAUAAAGUGAACUAAUUGCCUACUUCAAAAGCAGUUUUGCAUGAAAGUCAACAUCUAAUUGGAAUUUACAAUGCCCGAUAUUUCUACACAUCUGCCACAAAUUUUAUGGAAAACAAUAUUUAUAGAAACUGAACAUACCUUGGUUAAACGUAUAUGAAAUGGGUAACCAUCCUCGAAGAACAUCAACCAGCUGUCGGCAAUGUGCAGGUGGACUGAGGAAUCCCCAGUGCGUGGUCACGGACCGUUCCCCAUAUAUCUACUGACUUCAUAUAAAUGAAAG